AAUAGUUACACCGAGCAUGGUUUCGUAGUUAAAUUCAGACUGUAGAACAUCCGGUUUGAAUACAUGUGUUUUCUGACUUUUUGGAUAGCCAACUCUUGUGUUUUGGAACUUACGACUUAUGGCAAGAGAGAAGAAAAUUGUGUGACUUUAAAAGAAGACCAGUGAGAUAAAAUCAUAGAAAAUGUAUGAUGAUUCAGGAUGUGGUCAUUUGUGACAUUAGAACAGGAAUUGUCAUCACCAAUAGACGAAUUUCACAUUCCUAAGAGUUUUCCCCACUUUGUCCUUUGUCCUGUUCUGUGGAUGCCCUAAGACAGUGUGUCUACCCAUCACUCCAUCUGAUAUCACUUGUUCUGUGCAUAUUUCUCAAACUUAAACUACAGAGAGCCUGUGGAUAGAGGAUGAAGAGUGACCUUGGACUAAUUUUCUAGGCCAA